ACGGAGGGUGCAAGCGUUAUCCGGAUUCACUGGGUUUAAAGGGUGCGUAGGUGGGUUGGUAAGUCAGUGGUGAAAUCUCCGGGCUUAACCUGGAAACUGCCAUUGAUACUAUCAAUCUUGAAUACCUUGGAGGUGAGCGGAAUAUGUCAUGUAGCGGUGAAAUGCUUAGAUAUGACAUAGAACACCAAUUGCGAAGGCAGCUCACUACACGGUCAUUGACACUGAGGCACGAAAGCGUGGGGAUCAAACAGG
rnacentral:rRNA from 1 species